ensembl:lncRNA
AGGAGAGGAGAGAGUAUCAGGGAACGGUGUGUGUGCCAUGUUUCAGGGUUUUAAUAGAUGAGUAUGAAUCACAGGAUCUGUGAGGCACCGGUCAUUACAAAGCACUUACAGUGUAUCAGAGUAGAUCAAGUCGUUUGCAUGCCUCGUUAUACGGUUACCGCACAGUCAUUAUUUUAGUCAUUUAGAAUUAAGAUCAUUUUAAAAUCCUAAUCCUGGUCAUCCAUACAUAUCAGAGUUCACUGUUACUGUAUUCUGAGGUGGCAGCAGUACAUAUCAGAGUUCACUGUUACUGUAAUCUGAGGUGGCAGCAGUACAUAUCAGAGUUCACUGUUACUGUAAUCUGAGGUGGCAGCAGUACAUAUCAGAGUUCACUGUUACUGUAAUCUGAGGUGGCAGCAGUACAUAUCAGAGUUCACUGUUACUGUAUUCUGAGGUGGCAGCAGUACAUAUCAGAGUUCACUGUUACUGUAUUCUGAGGUGGCAGCAGUACAUAUCAGAGUUCACUGUUACUGUAAUCUGAGGUGGCAGCAGUACAUAUCAGAGUUCACUGUUACUGUAUUCUGAGGUGGCAGCAGUACAUAUCAGAGUUCACUGUUACUGUAAUCUGAC